CCAGGGUUGUAGUUGGGGGCGCUUGCUGCGUUUAACUGUAGGAGGUGCCAUGAUGUCAAGUUGAGAGGAGAGAGUGGAGUUGUAGAGUGUGGUUGCAGAGUUAGGGCAGUUGUGAUUUGAGAUGGGUAAAAGGAGUGUUUGGAGUUUGGUGGAGAAGUGCUGGAGAUCGAGGGAGUUGAGGUUUCUGCGAGCUUGGAGAGU